rnacentral:rRNA from 1 species
GUUAAUGGCUGGAAGGAAAGAACCUUAUCAUAUGGAGGGAAAGAGGCCUUAAUCAAAGUGGUGGCUCAAGCCAUCCCGACCUAUGCGAUGGGAGUAUUCAAAUUUUCAAAGAAAUUAUUUAAGGGAAUCACUGAUGCUAUAUCACAUUUUUGGUGGGGUGGGAGAGAGGACCAGCGAAAAAUGCAUUGGUUUGCUUGGUGGAAAUGUGUGUCGAAGAAUUGUGGAGGUGUGGGAUUUCAUGAUAUCCAUAGUUUUAAUUUGGCCAUGUUAGCCAAACAAUGUUGGCGCCUCAUUGAUAAUUAUGAUUCCUUAUGUGCACGCGUUCUCAUAGUCAAAUACUGA